CCGUGUCACCCUGUGUUAAGAAGCUUACCCGCGGCAGGAUGGAAUGGAUGAGACGAUAUCCGCAUGCGUAUAAGCAGUCAUAGACUCGUAGCUAAGAUCGACUGAUAAAUACUAUGUCAACAUGAAUAAUUGCCAAAAACAUCAAUUAUCUAUUAUAGUAACCAAAAAAUUAUGAGAUAGAAAGCUAAUGAGGUGAAAAAGGCAAGAAAAAAAGGUUUGAGGUAGUAAAUGCAGUUUCCAUUGACAUUGGUAAUGAUUGUUGUUUCAAAUGGGGUCCUUUUCUUAGCUGUCGUUCACAAAAGCACUCUCACUAUUGUCUCUGCCACUAGCAAAAUAUUGUCUUCAAAGUCAUUUUCCUUACCUUUAUUAUUACACUGCAACAUUAGUUUUUAGAUUUACAUAUUUGAUUGGUAGGAGAACCAGGGCCUCACAUAAGUGUACAAUAACAUUAACUUUAGUUGUCUUGGAACAUCCAUAAAAAGAGGCACUGACAAAUUGAACCGAUUUCUUACUUAUUUAUCAAAUAGAAAGAUUAAAUUCGGCCUUAAACUAUGCAAACAUUUGAUACUGGACGUGUUUUAAAACUCGUAGUCUCGUACUUUAAAAAACUCGGUUAAAACCAAACUAAAACAAAUAAACAACUACAAUUAUCAAACAUGGCACAUGUAGUUUUAAACUGUUUUUCUUGUUUUAUAUAAACAGUCGUCCACAUUUGAGUAAACCACCACAAAGAUACGAAGACCAUCAUUACGGUGAGUUCUUUAACUUUAUCUCUUAACAUUGUUUAAGAUUAAAAGUUUGGUUUUUGUAAGUUAAGAGUCAAAUCUUAGCUUUUAACACUCUCAAAAGCUCUUAGCUAAUAGUCAAAUCUUAGUAUUUUAAUCUGUUUUAAUUUAUUUUUAAUGUUUAAUUCUAAGAUAAUAAACUAAGAACCAUCUAAGAUACCACCAAUAAUGGUGUUUAGAUAACUGAAGACAACUAAAUCUAAUUGCAAUUACUAAAUGAUUAAUUAAGAAUCUUACCUUGUAAGAGUUUUAAGAUUCGUUUCUCAGUAUCAUCAUGUCAGUUCUCGAUCCAAUGAACCUUUUAAAUACUCUCUCUGUUCCUUGAAGUUUGAUGUUCUAGUGUUUUGAAUUUGUUCCACAAAGAUUGAUUUUCUAU
rnacentral:lncRNA from 1 species